rnacentral:rRNA from 1 species
ACCCGCACAAGCGGUGGAUGAUGUGGAUUAAUUCGAUGCAACGCGAAAACCUUACCUACCCUUGACAUGUCCGGAAUCCCGAAGAGAUUUGGGAGUGCUCGCAAGAGAGCCGGAACACAGGUGCUGCAUGGCUGUCGUCAGCUCGUGUCGUGAGAUGUUGGGUUAAGUCCCGCAACGAGCGCAACCCUUGUCAUUAGCUGCCAUCAUUUGGUUGGGCACUCUAAUGAGACUGCCAGUGACAAACCGGAGGAAGGUGGGGAUGACGUCAAGUCCUCAUGGCCCUUAUGGGUAGGGCUUCACACGUCAUACAAUGGUCGGUACAGAGGGUUGCCAACCCGCGAGGGGGAGCUAAUCCCACAAAGCCGAUCGUAGUCCGGAUCGCAGUCUGCAACUCGACUGCGUGAAGUCGGAAUCGCUAGUAAUCGUGGAUCAGCAUGUCACGGUGAAUACGUUCCCGGGUCUU